UACGGGGGGGUAAGCGUUGUUCGGAAUUACUGGGCGUAAAGGGCUCGUAGGCGGCCAACUAAGUCAGACGUGAAAUCCCUCAGCUUAACUGGGGAACUGCGUCUGAUACUGGAUGGCUUGGAUCCGGGAGAGGGAUGCGGAAUUCCAGGUGUAGCGGUGAAAUGCGUAGAUAUCUGGAGGAACACCGGUGGCGAAGGCGGCAUCCUGGACCGGUAUUGACGCUGAGGAGCGAAAGCCAGGGGAGCAAAGCGGGG
rnacentral:rRNA from 1 species